rnacentral:misc_RNA from 1 species
AUGCAUGUAUGAUUGGACUGGAUAAAGGAGCGGAGCUCCCAUUUGAUUCUAUGAUAUUAUGAGGAUGUGGAAGGUGAGUUGAGCUCCCCAUAUUGUUGUAUAUUGUGUUUACAGGUCGAGCGAGUCAAAAACUCCCUGUUGUAUGGUACACAUUAUGGUCGGACUUUGUUUGGUUGAAUUCUUGAAUUGGGCCUAAAAUAGGCCUUAGGAUUGGGUUAAAUAAUAGUUAGGCUUACUACGGGGACCGAGUGCCCCCCUUGGCCCUAUUGUGGCUCCGCCUAUGUGUAUGUGCAAUGCACAUGUUUCAAGAACUAGCCACGUUAAAUAUUUAAAAAAGAAAUUUAAAGAAAAUGCAAUAAUUAAAUUUUAAAUAAUAAGAGUUAGAAUUUAUUUUCUAUUAUAAACUUAUGUUAUCCCUCUUAAAUUUUAACUCAUAAUUUUAUUUGGUAGAUAUGAGGGUAAGAAAAAAAAAUAAAGAGAUAAAUAUUAUCCUAUUUAAAAA